rnacentral:lncRNA from 1 species
GUGUACACAAGACACCAUUUUGGAUUAUCUACAUGAGAUUUGAACUGCGUGCCUCUGUUUGAAACUCCAAGGUACUUAACAAGAAAGGAUAAUUGGAUAAUUUGGAUAUUUUCGACGAGGAUCCGACCGUGUGAAUGUCUUGAGAAGAGAAAGGGGGUAACUAUAGCCUAAUUUAGCAAGCUAACGUUAGCUGGAGGACUCAUUUUCACAUCACACACAGAUGUCUGCCACCACUGCUAAUCUUGAAAAGAUGGGUAACCUGCCAGUGACUCCUCAUUUGAUUCUGCCUGGUUCAGAUGAUACUUUGGGCCAGUGGAUAAAACAAUGGAUGAUCAGCAUGGAAGGCAGAGUAAUCUGUGAGGGUGAGCAUGCACACUGGAAUUCCUUCAAAGAUGCUUUGCUGGCAUAAAUCCAGAGAGGGGAACCAAGGCUGUGAGGGGAAAUGUGACAUCAAAAAAAAAAACUGGCAAGACAGUUCAGAAGAAGACCAUGACUUUAAACCCCAAGGUUUCAAACAUUUUAAAGAAACUAAUGGACUUUGAAUGGGACUUUAUUUAAAAUGCAGCUUGCUUGCACCCCCCUACUUUUGAAACACAGAGGACUUUUUUCUUUAUUUGCUGAAGCUCAUUUUAGGGCUAUAUAUUUUUAUAUUUUAUAUCCAAGACUAAAUUGUAAAGUGGCUAUUUAUUAAUUUUUUCUAUGACAUUCGGUAAGUUGCUUCUUGUUGUACAAUGCUGAAUACGAUCUUAACAUUUCUGGAGAACUUACAAUUUUUGCCUGUUCUUUGGCUUAAUAUUUACACAAACACAAUGCAGAUUUUAUUUUGUGUUGUUUGAAAAUAAAAAUGUGAAAUA